rnacentral:rRNA from 1 species
GUCAGGGACGAACGCUGGCGGCGUGCUUAAUACAUGCAAGUAGAACGCUGAAGACUUUAGCUUGCUAAAGUUGGAAGAGUUGCGAACGGGUGAGUAACGCGUAGGUAACCUGCCUACUAGCGGGGGAUAACUAUUGGAAACGAUAGCUAAUACCGCAUAACAGCAUUUAACCCAUGUUAGAUGCUUGAAAGGAGCAAUUGCUUCACUAGUAGAUGGACCUGCGUUGUAUUAGCUAGUUGGUGAGGUAACGGCUCACCAAGGCGACGAUACAUAGCCGACCUGAGAGGGUGAUCGGCCACACUG